rnacentral:rRNA from 1 species
GACGAACGCUGGCGGCGUGCUUAACACAUGCAAGCCGAACGGUAAGGCCCUUCGGGGUACACGAGUGGCGAACGGGUGAGUAACACGUGGGUGAUCUGCCCUGCACUUCGGGAUAAGCCUGGGAAACUGGGUCUAAUACCGGAUAGGACCCUGGGAUGCAUGUCCUGGGGUGGAAAGCUUUUGCGGUGUGGGAUGGGCCCGCGGCCUAUCAGCUUGUUGGUGGGGUGAUGGCCUACCAAGGCGACGACGGGUAGCCGGCCUGAGAGGGUGACCGGCCACACUGGGACUGAGAUACGGCCCAGACUCCUACGGGAGGCAGCAGUGGGGAAUAUUGCACAAUGGGCGCAAGCCUGAUGCAGCGACGCCGCGUGAGGGAUGACGGCCUUCGGGUUGUAAACCUCUUUCAGCACCGACGAAGCGCAAGUGACGGUAGGUGUAGAAGAAGGACCGGCCAACUACGUGCCAGCAGCCGCAGUAA